UCCCACCGCCAUCUUUGCAGUGGGUUUUGCUGAAGUCGAAUGGUUGUGUUUCUUGCCUUUUUUUUUUUUUUUUUUUUAAGACAUGGUUUUCCUGAGCUGAAUUUCCUUAUUGUUGUACACUGAAAAGAGCGCUUGAAAGGAAAUUCAGUUUCUACUGGGUUGAUUCACUACUGUGCAAGAAGACAGAGAAUAUGCACUUUUAGGAAGGAACCUUUUUAUACAUAUGGCUAAUUGUGACUCUUAGUAAAUGGAUUACAGAACUCACAAAUGAGUGUGGACUCAAGGUUUAAAAACCACUGCAGGAACCAACUACCUAGGAAUGGAAUUACUGAAUCUUAGGGAAAAUGAAUUCACUUUACAAGGUAAUGCCAAAUUGCCCUUCAAAAGAGAUUGUUAAUAAUAUACAUGCCCCCCAGCAGCAUGUUUUUUAAAAGUCUCUGUCUCAUCAAUUCUUAGUAUUGUCAGAUUAACUUUUCCAAUAAAUAUAGUGGAUGUAAAUGGUAUCUCAAAAAGGUCUUAGCAUUUUUAAAAACCGAAUGAUCAUUAGGAAAAUGCAAAUCAAAACCACAGUGGGAUACUACUGCACAUCCAUCAGGAUGACUACUAUCAAAAAGCCAGAAAAUAAUAAGAGCUGGUGAGGAUGUAGAGAAAUUUUAUAAGUCUUGUGCACUGUUGGUGGGACUAUAAAA